AGGAUCAUUACCGAGUCGUCAACAAGAGUUGUUGCUGGUCCUCAAACGGGGGGGCAUGUGCACGCUCUGUUCACACAUCCACUCACACCCUGUGCACCCUCUGUGGUUCUACGGUCAGGGGGCCUGUCCUCCUGCUGUGGUUCUGCAUCUUUACACACACGCCGUAACAAAGUCUCAUGGAAUGCAUGUCGCGUUUAACGCAAUACAAUACAACUUUUAGCAACGGAUCUCUUGGCUCUCGCAUCGAUGAAGAACGCAGCGAAAUGCGAUAAGUAAUGUGAAUUGCAGAAUUCAGUGAAUCAUCGAAUCUUUGAACGCACCUUGCGCCCUUUGGCCAUUCCGAAGGGCAUGCCUGUUUGAGUAUCAUGAACACCUCAACUCAUCGUGGUUUUCCAUGAUGAGCUUGGACUUUGGGGGUUUUGCUGGCCUACGGUCGGCUCCUCUAAAAUAAAUCAGCUUACCGGUGUUUGGUGGGUAUCAUGGGUGUGAUAACUAUCUACGCUUGUGGUUUUUCCACCAGGUAACCUUCAGCAGUGAAGGUUCACUGGAGCUCAUAGACGUCUCUCCUCAGUGAGGACAGCCCUUUGAAUGUUUGAUCUCAAAUCAGGUAGGACUACCCGCUGAACUUAAGCAUAUCAAUAAGCGGAGGAAUGAUUCUACGACCG
rnacentral:rRNA from 1 species